GAGGAGGAGGAGGGUACGGAGGAGGAGGAGGAGGGGGAAAUACGGUUAUAGUAGAUAGAGGUAAUGACGGAAUCGGUAACUUCGCUGGCGGUAUGAUGAUGGGAGCCGCUCUAUCAGGAUGGGGACCCAGAUUCGGUGGCUGGGGGUACGGGUUCGGUCUUGGUGUCCCUAUGCACGUCGGGUUCGGGUCCCAUGGCUUCUACGGUGGCGGGUUCCAUAAUCAGGAGACAAACAUCACAAACAACUACAACGUCAACAACGAAACAACAAACAACGAAUUAAAUCCUGAUGUUGGCGAUGCUGCUGGAGCUGAACCCGGCGUUGGCGAUACUGCUGGAAUCGAACCCGUACCCGAGCCUAUCGACCCAGGAGGAGGAAUGAACCCAGACGCUGAAAUGAUACCAGAUGGAGUGGACCCGGGCUUUCUGGAUGAGGGAGGGAUGGAUAUGGCGGGAAUGGAAGACAUGGGUGAACCGUUUGAAAUGGGUGGGAUGGAUGACAUGGGGGGUGAGUUUGAUAUGGGUGAGAUGGAUAUGGGUGGAGGAUUCGAUAUGGGUGGAUUUGAUAUGGGUGGUGAUAUGGGCGGGUUUGAUAUGGGGUUCUAGUCCAUCUGUAUGUCUGUGAGCUGUUUCAAGACCAGUACUUAACCAACACUGGAGUAGGUACAGAUAUAUUCAGUCAUGACCAGUACUUAACCAACACUGGAGUAGGUACAGAUAUAUUCAGUCAUGACCAGUACUUAACCAACACUGGAGUAGGUACAGAUAUAUUCAGUCAUGACCAGUACUUAACUAACACUGGAGUAGGUACAGAUAUAUUCAGUCAUGACCAGUACUUGACCAACACUGGAGCAGGUACAGAUAUAUUCAGUCAUGACCAGUACUUGACCAACACUGGAGCAGGUACAGAUAUAU